rnacentral:rRNA from 1 species
GACGAACGCUGGCGGCGCGCCUAACACAUGCAAGUCGAACGAGAGAUGAGGAGCUUGCUCUUCAAAUCGAGUGGCGAACGGGUGAGUAACGCGUGAGGAACCUGCCUCAAAGAGGGGGACAACAGUUGGAAACGACUGCUAAUACCGCAUAAGCCCACAGCUCGGCAUCGAGCAGAGGGAAAAGGAGCAAUCCGCUUUGAGAUGGCCUCGCGUCCGAUUAGCUAGUUGGUGAGGUAACGGCCCACCAAGGCGACGAUCGGUAGCCGGACUGAGAGGUUGAACGGCCACAUUGGGACUGAGACACGGCCCAGACUCCUACGGGAGGCAGCAGUGGGGAAUAUUGCACAAUGGGGGAAACCCUGAUGCAGCGACGCCGCGUGGAGGAAGAAGGUCUUCGGAUUGUAAACUCCUGUUGUUGAGGAAGAUAAUGACGGUACUCAACAAGGAAGUGACGGCUAACUACGUG